rnacentral:rRNA from 1 species
GACGAACGCUGGCGGCGUGCCUAAUACAUGCAAGUCGAGUGGACAGAAGGGAGCUUGCUCCCGGAAGUCAGCGGCGGACGGGUGAGUAACACGUGGGUAACCUGCCUAUAAGACUGGGAUAACUCCGGGAAACCGGGGCUAACACCGGAUAAUAUCAAGAGCUGCAUGGCUUUUGGUUGAAAGGCGGCUUCGGCUGUCACUUAUAGAUGGACCCGCGGCGCAUUAGCCAGUUGGCGGGGUAACGGCCCACCAAGGCAACGAUGCGUAGCCGACCUGAGAGGGUGAUCGGCCACACUGGGACUGAGACACGGCCCAGACUCCUACGGGAGGCAGCAGUAGGGAAUCUUCCGCAAUGGACGAAAGUCUGACGGAGCAACGCCGCGUGAGUGAAGAAGGUUUUCGGAUCGUAAAACUCUGUUGUCAGGGAAGAACAAGUACCGGAGUAACUGCCGGUACCUUGACGGUACCUGACCAGAAAGCCACGGCUAACUACGUGCCAGCCGCCGCCGUAA